CCAAAAAUCUCAUUAGUCCUCAAAAUUGACAUUUACUCCUUAAAAGUGUGUGUGUGUGUAUGGGGGGGCAGUCAAGUGUGUAAAGCCCCCUUUUGGCCAAAGACUGUAAAAACAUUCGCGUUAGCACACUUGAUGACCUAGUACAGCAAUGCUGAACUCCGAUUGGUUGAAACGGAAGAACUCCGAUUGGUCAAACAGCAAUCAAUCACUGGAGCUUUGAGCCAAUGAAGUAGUAUGUGGUUAAAUAUCUCAGUUUAAUGAGACGUCUGGAGUUAGGUGAAUUAGCAUCACACCAAAAAUUUAUGUGAGUUAAUAUUUAUCAUGACACGGAAUGUUUUAAAAGCUUAUACUACUAAGAGGGUUUAUUAAAUAAACUUUGUUGGAGUGUAAAUUAUUUUAUUAUUUAACAUUUUACAUUAUGGUUUACAUAGCAUAGUGUUCUCAGUAAUUAGCUAGUGUUAGUUAGCUAAUGAUUAUUCUAGCUUGUUAGCUAGCUCAGCCUUGAUGAGGCAUUUAAAUAUAUCAGUCCAUUAAUUUUACUAAUGCUAGAUUGUCUAUUAAUAUUUAAUGCACCUUCCAUAUAGAUGCCUUCAGAAUUUGUGAAGUCGUGAAACUUUUAAUAAGGGUGAAAACGAGGUUUUGAAAAUGAGUCAGAGGAAGAGUCCAAUAAAUGAUGCUAUUUUUCACAUUACCACCGGUCGUGAUAAAGCAGGGCUUGAUGUCAAAUACAUUGAUGCAUUUAAAGGUGAGCAAACCAUAUAAAUAAAUAAACUUGGACUUAUGGCGAUAAAACAGUAGGUUAGUUAGCAUGCUUUGUUAUUCCUAAACAAGGCAGGGGAGUGUUUACCAUGACGCACUUCACUAAAGGAGAGUUCGUGCUAGAAUACAGAGGAGAGCUCAUCAACUCUCUGGAAAGUAACAGAAGACAUCGAAUUUACCACAACAACUUGAAAGGAUUUAUGUUCGACUUCAUCUGGCACGAUAAAUUCUGGACUAUUGAUGCUGCAAGGGAUGAUGGCACUCUUGGAAGACUGGUUAAUGAUGAUCACAUUAACCCCAACUGCAAAAUGAAGAGAAUCAUUGUGAAAGGAAAGCCCCAUUUGUGCCUUUUUGCUUUAAGAGACAUAACACCUGGAGAGGAGGUCACAUUAUAAUUAUGGAGAUGCUGAUUGUCCCUGGAGGAGUAAAGGGACAAAGUGUGGAAUGGAUGCAAACAAUAAUCGUCUGGAGUCAGGUGCUACCUCUGGAGAUGUUACCCAGUGCACCCAACAUUCACAACAGAAAUCUGCUUCCCACAUCGAGGUGACAGAAAGUGGAAUAGAGGUGCCUCUGGAGAUGAUCAUCAUUGCACCCAACAUUCACAGGAUGAGUCUACAUUCUGCAAUCUGGUGACAGAAAGUGGAAUAGAGGUGGACAGUAAUCGUUUGGAGUCAGAUGGUGCCUCUGGAGAUGAUCAUCAUUGCACCCAACAUUCACAGCAUGAGUCUUCAUUCUGUAAUCUGCAGGUGCCAGAUGAAACAUUUGCUGAUGACCAGUAUUGUAUACCGCAGUCACAAGUGGAAACAAGCACUCCUCAGGUUGGAUAAAUUGUCACUUUUCUGAAUAUAAAAAGUGGACCUUUUUAAUUAGUACUUAAUUCGGUGAAACACCAGAUAUGAUGGGUGUCUACUCCAGUGAAAAGCCUGUGAUGUGGGCGGCUCCAAACUAGGUUUUAUCUAUUGAUAGGGCAAGUAUGGUAUAUGGGACACGGAAGGUUAGCUAGGCCUUUCUAUAAUCCCUAAUGGCUUGGUACAUGUAGACAACAUCUUAACUUGUAUAAUUGUAUCCACAACCACCUAGAAACACCAUAGUGACCACAUUUUAAGCUCCACAAUCACUGUAUUCUUCAGAAAAUGCACAAUCUGUAGUUAGGAUGCAUUCAAAAAGAGUGCACUUGUUCUGUGUUUAAGUAGAUAUUGAACCAGAACUGAAACCAUCGACAGAGCAAGCCCAGAAAACCUCAUCUGAGCAAGCAACAGAAUCAACCAGUACCACAUCUGUUCCCAAAGGUGUUAAGGUGGUAAAGAAAAAGAAAUGGGAGACCAGUGAAGUGAAAGCAGUUGAAAAACAUCUGUACAGGUUCAUAAAAACUUGCACAGUGCCAGGAAAAAAACAUUGUGAGGCCUGUAUUAAAGCUGAGCCUGUUGCACUGAAAGGCAGGGAUUGGUUGUCCGUUAAGUUCUUUGUAAAAAAUAGAAUCACUGCCCUUAAAAGGAAAAUGUAACCCAGAAAAAGUCUGCAUGGUUUCAUUUGGUUUUAUUUGCACAGAUCAUUGGUAGUUUUAGUUUAUUAUUAUUAUUAAGUUUAUGGCUUGAAUUUUGUAUUGUACAAUUUAAUUUUUUCUACUUUUUUACAUUUCAUUUAUGAGAAACUUUUUUUGAGUGUUAAUUAGUAACUGCCUGAAAAUACUAUCUGUUCAAAAAUACUGCAAUGCAAAUGGCAAAAUGUUUCAGAUUAAAAUAAAAGACAUGUUAUUCAUGUGACUUAAUCAAUUAUCUUGGAAAUAUGCAUUAUAGCACCUUCCCAAUUGUUUGUAAAUUGCGUCCCCAGAUUGUUCACAAGUACCUACAAUUUAGAAAUACCAGAAUAAUAAUGUGUGUGUGUCCGCUCGUCCUCAAAAGUUUGGUCUACCAGAAAUUGUCCCCAGAAUGUGGAAAAAUGUCACAUUGCUUUAUUGACGUUUUUUCAUUAAUUUGAAGUGACAGACGUCUUUACAGCUUCAACAGAAACACGAAUCUGUCUUUGGUUUGCUCCUAAACCUUUUAGAAAUACGGGUCCCCGCAUUGGAGGAUCCAGCAUGUAGUCCCCAAUAUAGACUUGCACAAGUGUGUGUGUGUGUGUGUGUGUGUGUGUGUGUGUGAGAGAGUGUGCCCUGCGAUGGGUUGGCACCCCGUCCAGGGUUGCUCCUCCUUGACCCUGUGUAGAAUAAGUGGUACGAUGGAUGGAUGGUUGGAUGGAUUUCCUAUGUUUGACAGUAGAUGGUGCAAUUUAGUAAGACAAUGAAUCAGUGGACUUCUGCAUGCUACUAUGAUGACAGCUCAAACAUCUGCUCAACAAGUUACUGGAUUUGUCAUUAGGGACUUUUUUUGGGGGGGAAAAAAGACUGAAGGGGUCUAAAAAUUUGCCAAACCUAGCGACUGCCAGGGAGCCCAUUAGCUGUAAAAUAAAUAAAAUAAUUUAUGAAACUAAUCCUUGCAUUCAACUAUUAGGCUCAUUAUUUAAAUUUAUAUUACAUUAUUUGGGAUCUUACUGGAGCCAUAGAACGUUUUCUUCCUGAACAGAACAAAUUAGGUGACGUGUUUUUGACUCCUUAAGAGUUAUCAAAGCCAUAACGUGGCCAGUAGAGUACUUCAAACCCCCAACCCAAGCCACAAUUAAAGAAAAGGGAGAGUGAAAUAAUUGUGGUGAGAGGUCAGUGGCCUGAUUAAAAGAA